UGUAUGGGGAUCUGCCCGAUAGAGGGGAAUAACUACUGGAAGCGGUGGCUAAUACCGCAUAAUGUCUACGGACCAAAGCAGGGGCUCUUCGGACCUUGCACUAUCGGAUGAACCCAUAUGGGAUUAGCUAGUAGGUGGGGUAAAGGCUCACCUAGGCGACGAUCUCUAGCUGGUCUGAGAGGAUGAUCAGCCACACUGGGACUGAGACACGGCCCAG
rnacentral:rRNA from 1 species